ACUCCUACGGGAGGCACCAGUGGGGAAUUUUCCCCAAGGCACGAAAGUUUGAUGGAGCCCCCCCGCGCGCAGGAUGAAGCUCUUCGGUUCGUAAACUGCUUUUCAAGGGAAGAAAAACUUAGUAGAAAUGCCAGACCUGACGUACCACAGAGCGUCCUU
rnacentral:rRNA from 1 species